rnacentral:rRNA from 1 species
UAGGGAAUCUUCGGCAAUGGGGGCAACCCUGACCGAGCAACGCCGCGUGAGUGAAGAAGGUUUUCGGAUCGUAAAGCUCUGUUGUAAGAGAAGAACGAGUGUGAGAGUGGAAAGUUCACACUGUGACGGUAACUUACCAGAAAGGGACGGCUAACUACGUGCCAGCAGCCGCGGUAAUACGUAGGUCCCGAGCGUUAUCCGGAUUUAUUGGGCGUAAAGCGAGCGCAGGCGGUUAGAUAAGUCUGAAGUUAAAGGCUGCGGCUUAACCAUAGUACGCUUUGGAAACUGUUUAACUUGAGUGCAGAAGGGGAGAGUGGAAUUCCAUGUGUAGCGGUGAAAUGCGUAGAUAUAUGGAGGAACACCGGUGGCGAAAGCGGCUCUCUGGUCUGUAACUGACGCUGAGGCUCGAAAGCGUGGGGAGCAAACAGGAUUAGAUACCCUGGUAGUCCACGCCGUAAACGAUGAGUGCUAGGUGUUGGGUCCUUUCCGGGACUCAGUGCCGCAGCUAACGCAUUAAGCACUCCGCCUGGGGAGUACGACCGCAAGGUUG